rnacentral:rRNA from 1 species
CCUACGGGAGGCAGCAGUGGGGAAUAUUGCACAAUGGGGGAAACCCUGAUGCAGCGACGCCGCGUGAGUGAAGAAGUAUUUCGGUAUGUAAAGCUCUAUCAGCAGGGAAGAAAAUGACGGUACCUGACUAAGAAGCCCCGGCUAACUACGUGACAGCAGCCGCGGUAAUACGUUGGGGGCAAGCGUUAUCCGGAUUUACUGGGUGUAAAGGGAGCGGAGACGGCCUGACAAGUCAGAAGUGAAAGCCCAGGGCUCAACCCUGGGACUGCUUUUGAAACUGCCAGACUAGAGUGCAGGAGAGGUAAGCGGAAUUCCUAGUGUAGCGGUGAAAUGCGUAGAUAUUAGGAAGAACACCAGUGGCGAAGGCAGCUUACUGGACUGUAACUGACGUUGAGGCUCGAAAGCGUGGGGAGCAAACAGGAUUAGAUACCCGGGUAGUC